GGACCCGUAGUGUAGCGGUUAACACGUCUCCCUGUCACGGAGAAGAUCGCCGGUUCGAAUCCGGUCGGGUCCGCCA
rnacentral:tRNA from 1 species